GCCUGAGUGGCUCAGUUCGUUAAGCAUCUGACUUUGGCUCAGGUCAUGAUCCCACAGUUUGUGAGUUCGAGCCCCACAUUGGGCU
rnacentral:tRNA from 1 species